GCCCAGCACUCGGCCCCGGGUGUCGUCCCUGCUCUCGGCAGUCCGGCUCCUCUUUCCCUCCAGCUCAGGGCUGUGUUUCUUUGCAAAUGCUCCAGCGGGAGAACCUGCCCCUGAUACAACGGCGCUCUAGCAACAUGUUUGAGACCUGGGGACCGUGCACCCAUGGGAGCGACGAGGGCUGGGCAGCGCGAGAGGCUACAGGGCUGUGUGGCCUCCCGUCCCGGCAGGGUUUGGCUUGCAGGCCAAGCCCACGCUGUCCCACCUCCAAUCUGGACACCCCUGACCCGUGCCUCCUGCUCCAUCUGUCACCCCCUGCUCUUCACCAGCAAAUUCCCUGGGGAUGGGCAACAGGACCGUGCCCCAUGGGCUCCUCAUGCUGGGCCAGGUCCUGGCCCUGCAGCCCCUGCCCAUGCCCCAGCCCUGGGAGUCUUCCCCCUGCCAAUGGCCCUGCUGCCCUCUGCUCCCUUGCAAGGUGGGGCCCACACGGGCUCUGGGAUCCCCAUCCUAAAAGUGGUGCUCAGUCCCACCCAGCCUGAUGCUCAGCCCUCAUGUCUCCUCAGCACCAGAUGCCAGCUUGGGUGCAAAAUAGGUUCUGCCCCCCAUUAAAGGAUCCCCACCUUCCCCUCCAUUGGGGAGACCCUGCACCCGGGCUGGGAGCUGUGCUGGGGGCAAGCGACGUGAGGGGCCAGACGUGGCCACCGCACCUCCCCGCUGCCGUGAGUCUUUCCCCUGCCUGGGGAGUGGGACGGGUGGGUCUGUGGGUGGGGGUCUCGCCACAGGUGCCCUGUGCCCCUCCCAGCCCCACGCAGCACACAGGACCCUGGGGACAGUCUCCGUCUCCUGCCAACUCCAGGGGCCCUCCAAGGAGAAGGGAGGGUGUUGGGGUCAUCCCUCAAUCACAGGGACAGUCCUUCUCCAGUCCAAGUGUCUGGGGGGACCUGGGACCUGGAGGUGGGAGGUGGGGACUCCCCUGGGACAGGGGGGAACAACCAAGCCCUGGGAUCCCCAGGGCCCAGCUCUAGGAGCCCUGCCCGGCCCCGGGGCUCGGGAGGCCACCAGCCCUGCAUCAUGGGGAGAUGGGACCUCACUGCCCAAGGGAGCCCAUCGCCCCAGACGCACUUUCUUUCCCCAGGAGCUGAAAGGCCCCUGCGGGUACCGGCACCAGCAGCUGGAGCUGAAGGUGCUGCGGGCCCACCUGGCAGCCCAGGAACAGGACACAGAGGUACUCCUGUCCCGGUAGGUGUGGGGCUGGGAGGGACCGGGCUGUUCCCGGGGUGUGGCGCAGGGCUUGGGGCUGAACCCAGGGCCCGUCCCUGCUUCUGCGCGACUCUCUCUUUGGGGAAGGGCUGUUUUGUGGGACGGCGUCGUCAGUCUCCCUGAGCCCAAAAAUGUGUUUUGUCACCACAGUGCUUGGCAAAGGGAAGAGGAGCUCCUGGUGAGUUUGGUGGGGCUGAGGCCGGCAGGGCCGUGGGGCAAGGGAGGGAGCAGGCUGAGGCUGAGCUUGGCCAGCUGGGUAAAUCCAAGAGGAUGUGAAAGCAGGGAACAGAGUCCUGGCACCUUGCAUGUGGGGACAGGUGGGGCCUGGCUGGUGCCUCAGGCUGUGUCGCUGUUGGGUGCUGAGGCCUGAUAUGCUCGGUGCAGCCAUGGGCAUGAUGUGAUGGGCUGGGGCGAUUCUGGUGCAGACUCAAGUGGAGGAGCUCAGGAGGGAGAAUUGCGCCCUGGUGCUGGCCCUCCAGGGGCAGAGGAAGUAGGGCCAUGACAUGGAGGACCGCCCCAUGGAGGUGAGCCUGCCCUGUAUGCCCCUGCCCAGGGAGAGGGGGAGUGUGUGUGUGCCUGUGUGUGCCCAGGGAAGGCUGUGCCCCACUGUACCAGGCCUGCACUCGAGGGGCCGGGUGCUGCCCUGGCUCUGUGGGUGGAGGUCUUGUGUGUGCAGUGCUGGGCACCAUGUGAGCCUUGCGGGUGUCACACUGUAGGACUGGUGGGGUGAUAGGUCUGUGCUGCACCGACCUCCCCUGCUUCAUGGAUGGCUGUCCCCUGCCAUAGCCGCCCCCCAUCCUCUGCCAGGGGCCAGCUCUGGGCCAGGGGCUUGCAUUUUGUCCUCACUGCCGUAUGCUUUCUCCUUUGCAACAGCCUCCCGUGGAGGGGACAGCGGAGGUGUGCUGCCCAGCCUGGGAGGCAUAAGUGGGGCACAGAGAGGGGAGUGUGAGGUGCGGGGCCCUCAUGGGUAACUCAUGGGCGGUGGGGCAGGCUCUGCAGUGCUGCAAGUGGUGCUUCUCACAUCUUGGGGGCUUGUUCCUUCCCGGGUGCUGGCGGGGAUGAAUUCAGUCUGGGAUCCAUUUCUGACCAGUUCCUUUCUGUGCAAUCAGGAGCAUUAGCACCCACCAGGACAAGGGGGCAGGGUCCCAAGUGCAUGCUGGGACCCAGACCAUCCUUCCCCCAAGACCAGAAGCCAGCACCCAGGCAGAGGGCCCCCACCUGGUGCACACCAGCACCCAAACCAGGGCCCUCUGCCUGGGUGAUGUGGGUGCACAGAGGCUCGCUGUCCAAAUCCAGGAGGACACAGGGAGAGGUGGAAACGCCCCUCCAAGAUCAUGGAGCAGGGGACACAGACCGCUCCUCUUCCCCCUACAAUGGAGGCCAGCACCCAGGCAGAGGGCCCUAGACACGGGGACACCUCCACCCAGUGUAGGGCCCUCUGCCUGGUAGAUGUGGGCUGUGACCCCCCGCCACACUUGUCAGUGAAGACAAUUGAAUUUCAAGGUCCAAAAAAACCGGGACAGCGUGAAAGGUUCCAGCUCACCUGGCUGCUCCCCUGCUGCUUCACCCAACGGAGGUGAAGCCCUGCACUCCUCCCCUCCCCGCCCACCCCUGUUGUCCCCUCCCUACGUCCAUCGUCCCCUGCCUGAUCUGGGAUGGGCCCAACUGGACUGGCUGACGUGUGGAAGAGAGACGUAUUGGUUCUGUGACAUGAUUCUCUUCUCCUGAUGCCAAGAGGAACCCCUCUCCAGGAAACCUCUGGAUUGCAGGGUCUGACCCAAGACUGGGAGGAGAUGGCUGCUCUCCACAGUAUGCUCUCCCUGCACAAUAAGCAGGGCGAGGGACUGGAGUCUCCAGUAACUUGCAUAGGUUGUCUCACUGCACCAGGGCAGCUUUGGCUUUCACAAGCAGCUUUGAAGGUCCAGUCAUCAGUUGGGAUGCCUCUGUCCCUGCAGAUAGCCCUUGACAUUCCGAGCGCUUUCGAAGCCAAGCCCCAAGUGUCUUCCAUGGGAGAAAGACGCAAAAUCGCCCCAAGCCUUCCAACAGAUGAAUGAGUCUGAAAUGUGGUGUUGCACUUCCAUGGUACUUGUAAGAUCCUAGAAAGACCAGCAAUGAACUGCAGCAUACCACAAGUACCUGAAGACUGGGGUUGUGAAGGGAGCAAGAAAAUGGCAGGUUUUGUGACAUGCACAAGGGAGAACCCAGAUGUGAUUUACUUGCCUAGUGUGCUGGUGUGGGAAAUAUGCUAAGAUGCAUGCCAGCUGUGGGGUUCCCUCCUGGGGAGCUGCCUUUCCUUCAGGAACCUGUGCAAAACACCAGCCUGCCAAGAACAAGACUACCCAGCUAAUCUGUCAUCGUUACGGCGGUGCCAAACUCUGCCUGCAAAUGCGUGCGAGUAGUUCCCGUCACUUGUCUCUAAUUGUGAUCUAGUCAUCUUUCCCAUUUAUAGCUGUUUCCACUGUUUUCAGAUGCCUGUUUUCUUGCUGGGCUUGCCAGUUUUUGGAGGAUGGCCUGCAGCUUUAGACCAUUUGUCUGAUGGUGUUGUGACAUAACAUCAGUACAUUAGGCCAAAUUUAGUGCUGCUGUGCAAGACCACCAUCACGUCCCAGGACAGGUGUGCCUGCGUGACAUUCUUUGGCCCUGAAAUCAUUCUGCAGUUGGUAAAAUCCUCAGGGCUGUUCAGAACAGGAUGAGCAAGCCUCUGUUUUCAUAAUCCUUGUAUGCUUCUGGCAUCCCAUGGGUACAGCCUGGAAGUCUGUAGAGCUCCUUAGCUCAAGUGUCUUCUCACAGUUACAAUCCACCUCUAUUUGUCUCUCACCUGAGAUGCUAGUACUGUCCAGUAGAAAGAUGAUGUCAUUAUCCAUAAGGGUCUGCCAUAGUUUAAGUCACAAGUGCUAGCUGUACUAUCAAUUAUUAUCUGAUCUGUACAUGCUAGUUGUAGACAUGGAUGCGCCACAUUACAUCAGAUAUAUUCUAACCCUAUGUUUCUAUUCAGCGAUAUGCCUUCAUCUAAUACUGCAAUUUCUGUCAGGCCUUGUGAGCUGAGCAGUCACUUUUUGGGUGGGAGCCCAAGGAUGCCUAUAUACUGUAGGAAGCAGUCUUGGUAAUUCAGUCGGCGGCAGUCCUAGUAAGCAGGGUUGACCUAGGUGCCCUUCAUGGUGCCAGGGGGCAUUGAGCUGCUGUUGUGAAUUGUGGAGCUGAGCUACCACCUGUGUGGCCAUUAAAGAGCUUUUGCCGGUUUACGUGAGAGUAACCCCCAUGCCAUGGCCAGGCUCUGCUUUGGGUAACUACAGUCUGAAACCUGGGUCCCCCAGGAGUUUCAGUUUGAUGCAACAUCCUUUUUCCCUUAUUGUCCCUUGUCGCUGAGCUUUGUAUCAUUGCAGUUGGCUGCAUCCACAGGGGCAAUGGUAGCUCGCCAGUAGGUGAUGCGAUUCAUGUCUGAAGUUGGUGAGCCCAUAUCAUCCUGAAAAUGAUUUGGGAUGAACAACAGCUGUUUAAUUGUAAAGCUCUGCCCAGUGCCCCGAGUUUUCAAGAUGACUUCCUCUGGGAUUCGUGCACAGAACCCACAUCUCGCGUCAGAGACAAACUGCAGGCCUAUAAUGACACUGCCAUGGAAGAGGUUUACCCUUUUGUGUUUUUCAGCUCAGUUAUAAGUAUAAAAAGAUCCAGGCAAGCAUUGUGUCCUUUUACCACAGAUAACUGUCCCCUUAGUCAGGGAAUGCGUCACACACUCAGCUGAAAAAAAAGAGUACUGUUUAAAAUGAUAUCCAGUAGAUUUGAAUUAGAAAAAUAGAUUUGUACUAGAAAACCCAAUAGAUUUUUAUUAGAAAAAUGCACCCCAGAAAGUUAACUUGUUUUCCCUCUAUUUUUAUGCUUUUAUGCCUUUGUUUAUGUAAAGGGUCCUUGGCAUAGGUGAAGGUUGCUGGCUUGAGAAGUUGGGGGCCAGGAGAGGCGGGCUGGUCAGCUGAGCAGCCACGUUUCACUUUUGGCUUGGAAUGGUUUUUAUUUGACAAGGCAAAAAUAUGCUGUCGCAGGGCACCUCGGUGCCUGCUCCUAGAGAGUGGAAACUGCCAGGGAGAGAGAGAGCGAGCCCUGGCAGGACAUAACGAGCCCAGCUGUGGGUUGUCAGGGAUAGAGCACCGCUGCGGGUUGCCGGGGCAUCUAGGGAGGGCCAGCUGUCUGCAGGAGGCAGGGCCUGGUCCUUAUAAAGCCCAGGGCUGAGGCCAGGCUGAGCAGCCGG